rnacentral:lncRNA from 1 species
UAAAAAGAAAUACUAUAAUUAGAAUAAAAUAAGAAAUUCCAUCACUUAUCAUUUCUAUUGUUAUAUAACACCAUCUCUUAUCAUUUAAGUCAGAUUAUACUAUUUAGAAUAAAAUACAAAACUCCAUCAUUUAUCAUUUCCAUCAUUAUACACCAUCUCUAUCAUUUAAGUCAAAUUAUACUUUUAAGAGCACAAGUUGAGAGCAGAAGGAAAACAACAUUCCAAUCUUCUUUUUCAUUUGUUUUCCACCAUUUGCAAAGGAAGUGUCAGAAGACUUUCAGAAGCACAUGCAGUUGCAGCUCCAGUGUUUCAACAGUUGCCCAUUUCCAAGGCCUCCUAAAUACGUAUGAGGCCUGUGGACAACUUUCUCCUCAGCUGUUACAGGUAAGAACUGCACUGUGUGGCCAGGCGCGGUGGCUCACACCUAUAAUCCCAGCACUUUGGGAGGCCGAGGCGGGCAGAUCACAAGGUCAGGAGUUCGAGACCAGCCUGGCCAACAUGGUGAAACCCCAUCUCUACUAAAAAUACAAAAAAUUAGCUAGGUGUGGUGGCAUGCGCCUGUAAUCCCAGCUACUCAGGAGGCUGAGGCAGGAGAAUUGCUUGAACCCAGGAGGCAGAGGUUGCAGUAAGCCGAGAUGGCGCCCCUGCACUCCAGCCUGGGUGACUGAGUGAAACUCCAUCUCAGAAAAAAUAAUAAAAAAUAAAAAAAUCUGUGAAACUGAUGCAUGUUUCUAAAUGAUUCAGUAGUCUUUCAAAUAAUAUAGUAUUCUAUUGUAUGAACAUAC